UCCUGGUUGGCUCAGUUAGUAGAGCGCUCCAGUGGAAAUCGGCAGGUCCCUGGUUCGAUACCAGGACAAGGAG
rnacentral:tRNA from 1 species